UACUCUUUCACCAGAUACAACUCAACUUUAGAAGUUGCUUAUUGUUCAUGUCUAAAAUCAUCUCUCUUCCAUGAUGGUACAUGCAUGAUGCAAAAUCUCUGUUUCAUUUGGUGAUGAAUGACAUGUCUACGAAGAUAAAAUACUUUGUCCAAACAAAAACACUCUCUUUUUCAACAUGCAAGGAACUUGUUAUAGCUCACAAAUUACAACAUAGACCAAGGAAUGUUCAUCCAAGGCCCCUUAACAUAGGUGAAAUACCAUUUUCACUAUUUGAACUUCAGUAUUAUCAUGACUUCGCCAUAAGCGAAGUGAUACACAGCUAUAUGUACUUUUAUUCAUAACUAGAAGCAUAGGUGGCAUGCAUGCAAGUAUGCAAACCACUUUUCCUGAUCUGACAUGAAAGAACCAAA